rnacentral:rRNA from 1 species
CCUACGGGAGGCAGCAGUGGGGAAUAUUGGACAAUGGGCGCAAGCCUGAUCCAGCCAUGCCGCGUGAGUGAUGAAGGCCUUAGGGUUGUAAAGCUCUUUUGUCCGGGACGCGGUACCGGAAGAAUAAGCCCCGGCUAACUUCGUGCCAGCAGCCGCGGUAAUACGAAGGGGGCUAGCGUUGCUCGGAAUCACUGGGCGUAAAGGGCGCGUAGGCGGCCUUGUAAGUUGGGGGUGAAAGCCCGUGGCUCAACCACGGAAUUGCCUUCGAUACUGCUUGGCUUGAGUGUGGUAGAGGUUGGUGGAACUGCGAGUGUAGAGGUGAAAUUCGUAGAUAUUCGCAAGAACACCGGUGGCGAAGGCGGCCAACUGGACCACCUGACGCUGAGGCGCGAAAGCGUGGGGAGCAAACAGGAUUAGAUACCCUUGUAGUC